AUUGAACGCUGGCGGCAUGCCUUACACAUGCAAGUCGAACGGCAGCGGGGGAGAAGCUUGCUUUUCCUGCCGGCGAGUGGCGAACGGGUGAGUAAUACAUCGGAACGUGCCCCGUAGUGGGGGAUAACUAGUCGAAAGAUUAGCUAAUACCGCAUACGACCUGAGGGUGAAAGUGGGGGACCGCAAGGCCUCAUGCUAUAGGAGCGGCCGAUGUCUGAUUAGCUAGUUGGUGGGGUAAGGGCCUACCAAGGCGACGAUCAGUAGCUGGUCUGAGAGGACGAUCAGCCACACUGGGACUGAGACACGGCCCAGACUCCUACGGGAGGCAGCAGUGGGGAAUUUUGGACAAUGGGCGAAAGCCUGAUCCAGCAAUGCCGCGUGUGUGAAGAAGGCCUUCGGGUUGUAAAGCACUUUUGUCCGGAAAGAAAUGGCUCUGGUUAAUACCUGGGGUCGAUGACGGUACCGGAAGAAUAAGGACCGGCUAACUACGUGCCAGCAGCCGCCGUAA
rnacentral:rRNA from 1 species